UACAGAGGUCUCAAGCGUUGUUCGGAUUCAUUGGGCGUAAAGGGUGCGUAGGUGGCGCCGUAAGUCGGGUGUGAAAUUUCGGAGCUUAACUCCGAAACUGCAUUCGAUACUGCGGUGCUUGAGGACUGGAGAGGAGACUGGAAUUCAUGGUGUAGCAGUGAAAUGCGUAGAGAUCAUGAGGAAGACCAGUGGCGAAGGCGGGUCUCUGGACAGCUCCUGACACUGAGGCACGAAGGCCAGGGGAGCAAACGGG
rnacentral:rRNA from 1 species